rnacentral:sRNA from 1 species
GGUAGUAGAGGGGACGAACCAAUCCAAACCCCCCAACACCCCCCCACGGACUCGCAACUACCAUCUUGGCUAGCUGAGAACCAGGCCUGUCUUUGUUCUAAUCCUUCCACUGCCAACUUUUUUUCUUUAGUGGUCAGCUGGGGAACUAGGCCCUUGUUUGUUCUGGUCCAGGGAUUCAGAGUGACUAAGCACUUAUUGUCCUCACCCGGUAAGGACUGUGCAUUAGUGGGAUAGGACAUUUUUAUUUGGAUAAUCUCUGAUUUGAAUCUGUGAUAGCAUGUUGGCACACCCUGCAGCGAUUGCGCUGACACAGGCCUCAUAAUCUGUUAGGCCACUGGGGCAAAAGAGCUCUCUCACACCAGCGCCAUGCUGGUAGUAGAGGGGACGAACCAAUCCAAACCCCCCAACAUAAAGUAGAUCAUGUAGCUGAUUUAGUUAGUAAGCUGUCAAAGAAGUGGAGUGGACCUAAUUAGAGAAUCAACUGGACACGUUAAAACGUAUGCAUGGAACAAGCUAAUAUAAUUGCC